ACAAAUGGGAGGUGACCCUGGGCCACCGACCCGGCCCCGCACCGGCCUGCAAUCCACUCUCCUGGCAGGAGGCAAAGAUGGAACACUGGCCCUGGAGUGAAGAGGCUGCCUUUGAAGCCCAGGCAACCUAGCCUGCAGUCAGAAGGUGGAGUGGGUUACUGGAGUUAAGUAAUGACCAAUGGCAGCAGCACCAGGCAGCCCAGACUGGACAAUGCCAUCUCCUGAGGCCAGAACUGGCUUUCCUUGGGCUUCUGGGAAGUCAGGGAGAUGCCCAGCUGAUACUAAAUCUUUGUGGUUCCCGGGGAUCCAGGCCAGGGAUUGCCCAGCGCUGCGCGAAGUGCUAAUGGAUCCCUUUUCCUCUGCCAGAGCACCCAGGCCAAAAAUUCCUACCAGAAGUGAUGAGACCCAAUGUUCCUGCCUAAAACCCACUGCGAGUGCCACCCGGGACAAGAAAAAUGAAACCAAUUUAGCUCCCGAUUAAGAAACAGAAACUGGAGAUGAAUCAAGUGCGCCGGCUGGGCUGGGCGGCCAUACAUCACAUUCCCCGGGUGGAGGCCGCCACAGCGGGCAGGCAGGCGGGCGGACUGCUCCUCCCUCCGCCAAGGCUCCCGGGGCCGUGGCCCAGCGAUCAAUUCACAGAGUCACGCUUAGCACCAGCUGGGCUCCACUGCCGGCUGUGUGCCCAGGGCAGCAGCACCGAGCUGCACUUGGGAGGGCCAGAAGCCCUGGCAGCAGGCCUUCCUGCUAGCAAACGGCCCCUCCUCCCACUGAACUGCGGUCCCAGGGCCCCCUCCUGGCCAAACACUUACUUCUCGAUGUCGCUGUUCUUGCAGGUCUUCUGCAUGGCCUCCUGCUUGCUGCUUUCACCAUUGCUGGUGGAUGGCAUCUCUGCUGGGACAGAGGGGCAACUCACACUCCGGCCAGACUGGGCAGCACAGGUGCUAACGCGGCUUGGCUGUCACCUUCAAUGCAUCACCCGAGGCUGAGAGCCCCCCUCGUCAUUCCUAGCUUGCAGCCUCACAAUUCCAUUUCCCCACCCAAAUACAUCCAUUUUAAUAUGCACAUCACAGGCAGGCAGCACGGUCACAAAGAAGCCCCACCAGCAGCAGUCCCCACGUGGUGGAACGGAUGGAUGACCAGCCACCAGCCUCGGCCUCUUGGCUCCCAAUAGAUGGAUACCCAGCAGAGGCCUGGCACCGGAGUGCCACUGUCUAUGUGUCAGCUGCUUGUACCUCGGAAGCCACCUUCCAGAAGAGUGGUGGCCCGUAUCCGCUUCUGCCCACACCAUUCAUACUCCUCAAAGCGGUUGUUGUUCUCAUGCUCGAUGUCCACAGCAUCAUCCUCAGCCAUGCAGGAGCCUUCCCUCUGUGAAGAGCAGAGCAGGAUCAUGCUGGGCCCAGGCCAUCCCCACCUGCUCCCCACAGUCUGUGAUGAAGGCACAGCUCUAGCCUCAGCUGUGGUGCGCCAAGUGGGCCCUCAGCUCUAGGGCUCCUCUGAAGCAAACCAAUUUAGAGGUCAAAGACCUGGGCCUCUUCCCAAUAGUUUUCCACUGGAGCCCAAGGAGGGAAUGAGUGAGAGUGAAAGCAAAGGGAGAGAGCAGUGGACAGAAGUGAAGAAGCUGCUGAGACUACAUGGAGACCCCAAGAGCCCAGAUUCAGGGAUAGUCUGCAGCUAGUGUUGGGGGAGGGGAACGGGGAAGGAAGGCGGGUGGUGAUGGCCCCUCUACCUUAGAAAGGCAAUGCUCCACAUGCCUACUCAUCUCCUGCUCCGAUCCUGCCAGGGGGCGGUUGCACAGGGGACAUACCUGCCCUUCAUCUUGCUUCCUCCGUUUCAUUUUCCCAAUCCGAGCUGCACGGGGGAACCGAAAACAAAGCACAGAACAAGCAGACGGUCACUGCAGCCCCCAAGGUCCCAGUGGAGCUGACACAUCCUGACCUCUUGCCAACCACUAGCGUUUUUAUUCAGUGCCUGAUCUGGCCCUCAUCUUGAAGUACCUCCUGCUCCUUUGGGGACUGGGCUUUGCCAAGAGCACCUGGGGAGGAGACUGGUGCUAACUAAGCCAGUGAGUAAGUCUACUCUUUGGCCACAGCUGGUGCAAGGUCUACCCAUACCUUUAUUUGCAGUGUUUAGUUAAGCGUCCAAUGGGCAAAGACACUCCAUGUUGCUAGGUAUCUCUCCAGAAAGCCAAGACCACGAACUCUUUUGGUGUCAGGAAAUACAACUCUAAAGAGCAUCUCUUGGCUAGAACCUAACCCCGCCAGUGGCCUGACUUGGCCUGCUGUUCACUCAUCAGCUAAAUCCUCCUUUGUUCCUGGGCCAAGAGCCCUGAGGUACAGCUCCUAGCAUCCCACCUAGCAUCUUAACAGGAAGAAUUUCUCUGAGGUCCACUGAUCCCAUUUUACAGAAGAGGAGACUGAGGCCCAGUCACAAAGGUAAGAAGGUCUGGGUCAGACCUUUGGCAGCCAGGUCAGAAGGCUCAGGGAACCCUUAUUGUGAGAGGCAGCCCUUAUUGUGCCCACCCGAACCUGUUCCUUCAUUUCUAAUCAGUACAGAGGGGCUGGCAGGCCCUGGAGGCAGAGGGCUGCCUGCCAUGUUGUCCCGCAGGGGGCUCAGUUCCAAAGUGCACACUGCAAGCCCACAGCACUGCUAAUUAAUGCUGAGCGAUGCAAUCAUUUCUAAUUAGCUCACUAAUCCCUCUCUGCAGCCCUCCUGUCACUGAAGCAGGAAGGGGUCAAAACAAGAAACUCUGUUCCCUCUAGUCCCUUCCAGAAUGCCACAGCAGGAUCAGAGAUGGCUACUCUGGGACCAAAGUGAUGGGGAGGGGGGAGAGCCAGCCAAGGAGGGAAAGGUUCCCCAGUGCAGGGCCAGGAAGAACUUUCUCAUGGACAGCGACCCUGACAGGAAGUUCAUGAAUGCAUUCUAGGAGGGGAACACAGGUGAGAGCUGCUAUGUUACAAUUUAGAGCUUCUACUGUGUGUCAGGCUCACAGUCAAGUACGUUACCCAAGGUAGCUCAUUUACUACCACUUGCUGAAGCUAGAUUGCAUUAUCCCAUUUUAACAGAUGAAGAAACCCAAAGCUUAGAGAGAUCAAGGCACGUGUCCAAGUAGCUAAAAAGUGGCAAAGGCAAGAUAGGAAACCAGGCCUGACUUCGUAACCUAGAAUGCCCUUCUGUUCCAAGGGGACCCCCUAACUGAGCAGCAUCAACAGACUGGUCCCAGUGAGUGUGCUAGAGCUCCAGCUCCUGCCUGUUGUGAGCCUGAGGCAGGGAGCUACUCCAACUCCAAAACAGAGUGACCCCAGAAAGACCCAAACCAAAAGGAAAGCUACCAUCCUGCCAGAACUGGGCAUGGAGUUUGAGAAAACUUGGUCUGUAGCCCAGUCCAUCUCUUCAAUUUCCUGUGUUUUCACUAUAGGUGACAUGACUGUGUCCUAGUGCCCCACUUGACUUUGUGGACAAAGAUCGAGAACUCUUCACUUUGGCUGCCCAAACUCUUGGAAUCUCCAACUUAGGUAGCCUUGACACUGUAGAGCCAGGGCUGGGAUGGACAAUGGACGUGAAACCUCAGAAAGGCACUGAGCAAAGGACCCUGAGAGUUUUAGAAAGUGUAGUAUGGAGCAGUGUGCCAACACAAAGCUUCCUCCCUACCAUGCCUACACCAGGAGAACGCCUCCCUGGGUAAGAAGGUGCUGAUGAUACCACAAUGUUCGAUGACUAAGGAAACGAAUCUCAUGGAAUGGUCAAGAAAAGCACGAUACUGGAUGUGCUCCUUGCUCAGGACACACAGGCCAGCAGAUGAUCCCUUGUAGUCCCUGGAAAGCACCCUGAGGGACUGGGCUUCAUUUGGAAAUUCUCAGAGAAGGCAGGUUUGGUUUUCAUCUUCCCAUUCAUCUUCUAAAUCCUGAACUAAGCUUACCAAAGUGUAGUAGGGAAAGUUCUGUUCUCUAUCCAGAGGCUACGUAUGAGUAGGAAGAAUGAAAGCAUGUGCCAAGUAGGUAGCAUGGCAUGGUUGGAGAAACACGGGCUUUGGCGGGAAACAAACUUCAAAUGAAUCACGGCUCAGUUACAUCCCAGCUGUGUGCUUUUAAACAAACCACUUUCACCUCUCA